ACAGUCAGCUCUGGGAAGGCGGCGGCCAGGUCUGACUCACUUGUGCCUUCUUGUUGUCCAGCUUAGUGCUAGUCCUCCAGAGGACACAAAGCUUAUUAAAUAAUUGAAGGGGAGAUGUCACAUUCAGCCCUGUGCCACUGGCUUGCAUGCAGGCUGUCUUUGAAAGAAGCUGAUGACAUCAGAAGGGCACUGGCAACCACCCGGUGGGGCUUGGCAUUGUACCAAGUGCAUGGGUUUUGGGUUCUGUGGAAGAUUGUGUCCAAAGAUGCUCACCGAAAUCCUGACCUGGCCUUAUGCCCUUUUGAAAUGUGACUGUCUCGCCUCCCAUCCAAAGGUGGCGUCCAUAGCCCCUCCCCUUGAGUCUGGUAUGACCCUUUGACCUGCUUUGACUAACAAGUAGAGGAAGUGAUGCUACUUUACAUCCAGAGCGGUGCUUUAGUCCAUCUUGUGGCUUCUGUUUCACCACAAGUCCCCCUAUCCUGCUGGAGAAACCACGUGAAGAGAGAGAGACCCUGGAAAAGGAGAGUCCAUCAGAACAGAAAGGCCUUGGAGGAUGAAAAACCGUGAGCAGAGGGGGACCUGCAGAUGGGCAGACAUAGCCUGCGGCUCGCAAAUCGCUGUUUGCUGACCCCUGGCGGCUCUUCUGUCUCAAAAGUUUGCCGACCCCUGUUCUAGACAAAAAUGCAGCUGCCUGAGAGAAGCCAGAUGUCACCAUGUGGAACAGACACAAGCAUUCCAGUGACCCUGCCCGGCCAACCCACAGAACUGUGGGUAAAUAAAAUGGUUUUCGUGUUCA